AGCUUAUGAUGUGGACAUUUUCUCAACAAGUCUUUGAAUCUCUCCCAUAUCUCAAAUAGUGAUUCAGUGUCUAAUUGUGCAUAAGCUGUAAUCUCUUGACGUAACUU